GGGGGUAUAGCUCAGUGGUAGAGCAUAUAUUUAACAAGCAUAAGGCCCUGAGUUCAAUCCUUAGCACCA
rnacentral:tRNA from 1 species